rnacentral:misc_RNA from 1 species
AUAUUUAAUAUCACAAGCUUAUAAACACUUGCUAGGAAAAUAUGUCCCAAUCAGAAAUACUUACUCCAACAUAUGAGAUUGGGACUACAUCGUUUUACGAAUCCCACGUUCGCCCAGUGGUUGUGGAGUUCUUAGGUACCACAAUAUUGGUUUUUUUGGUGUGUAUGUUUCCUGCUACUUCUUCUACUAUUUACCAGAGCGCCUUCGUCUAUGGAUUUGCCACACUGUUCCUCAUUGUGAGUUUUGGUGACAUCAGCGGGGGUCAUUUUAACCCCGCCAUUACACUUGGCUGCACAGUAGCGGGAGCACUGUCAAUUCCUCUGUCGGUUUGUUACUUCUUUGCCCAGAUACUCGGAGGGAUGCUUGGGGCGGCCUUUGUACGGGUAUGCUGUUUACCCGCUGAAAAUAUACAAGACCAUCGUAGGUGGAUCUACAGUUCUCAACAUUAUGCAAGGCAUGAAACCUGGAUGGGGAGUUAUGACAGAGGCCUUACUUACGUUCAUCAUCGUGUUAACAUUCCUGCAUUCUGUGGUCGAUAAGAGGAGUAAGCUCGCUCCUUUGUCUGUUGGUGUUUCCGUGGCUGCCUGUUCUUUUGUUGGGGCGUUUCCGACCGGAGGAUCUAUGAAUCCUGCGAGAAGUUUGGGACCGGCAAUAGCCUUUUCUGUUUAUUCCGAUUAUGUAGAUGACCUAAUAUGGAAAUACCAUUAUAUAUACUGGGUAGGACCUUUAGCUGGGACAUUGUUUGCCGCUCUGAUGUACAGGUUUGUGUUGGCAUCUGUAAAUCGGAGGAUUCGGUUACUUUGACCAUGAGAGGAGACUGCAUCCUAGUUAGAUCUACAUAUUUGUCAGUGUGCUGCUUUUCUACAACUUUAUUAGCUGGUUUCGAGGUUGUUUCUAAUCAUACUUUCAUAAUUUUUAGAUCUGUUGAAAAGAAUGGAGUUCUAAAAUUUUGCUAAUGUCAAAUAUAGUGCAAUAUUUAAAAUAAAACUAAAUAUUAACAUGG